GAUGAACGCUGGCGGCGUGCUUAACACAUGCAAGUUGACAAAAGUGGCGGAUGGGCGAGUAACACGUAGGAACCUGCCUUUCACAGGGGAAUAACACUGGGAAACCAGUGCUAAUACCGCAUACUAUCAGAUGAGCCUAGGUCGGAUUAGCUAGUUGGUGGGGUAAAGGCCUACCAAGGCGACGAUCCGUAACUGGUCUGAUAGGAUGAGCUGGCACACUGGAACUGAGACACGGUCCAGACUCCUACGGGAGGCAGCAGUGGGGAAUAUUGCACAAUGGGCGAAAGCCUGAUGCAGCGACGCCGCGUGGGGGAUGAAGGCUUUCGGGUUGUAAACCUCUUUCGCUAUCGAACGGGUAGGUGGAGAAGAAGCGCCGGCUAACUACGUGCCAGCCGCCGCGGUAAUUC
rnacentral:rRNA from 1 species